rnacentral:rRNA from 1 species
UACGUAGGGUGCGAGCGUUAAUCGGAAUUACUGGGCGUAAAGUGUGCGCAGGCGGCCGCGCAAGUCGAGUGUGAAAGCCCCGGGCUUAACUUGGGAAUUGCGCUCGAAACUACGUGGCUGGAGUGUGGCAGAGGAAGGUGGAAUUCCACGUGUAGCGGUGAAAUGCGUAGAGAUGUGGAGGAACACCAAUGGCGAAGGCAGCCUUCUGGGCCAACACUGACACUCAGGCACGAAAGCGUGGGGAGCAAACAGG